rnacentral:rRNA from 1 species
UUUCCGGUUGAUCCCGCCGGAGGCCACUGCUAUCGGGGUUCGAUUUAGCCAUGCGAGUCGAGAGGGUUUAGACCCUCGGCGGACUGCUCAGUAACACGUGGAUAACCUGCCCUAAGGUGGAGGAUAACCCCGGGAAACUGGGGAUAAUACUCCAUAGAUUAGAGAUACUGGAAUGUUCUUUAGUCAAAAGUUCUGGCGCCUUAGGAUGGAUCUGCGGUCGAUUAGGUUGUUGUUGGGGUAACGGCCCAACAAGCCUGUAAUCGAUACGGGUUGUGGGAGCAAUAGCCCGGAGAUGGAAUCUGAGACAAGAUUCCAGGCCCUACGGGGCGCAGCAGGCGCGAAAACUUUACAAUGCAGGAAACUGUGAUAAGGGAACCCCGAGUGCCCGUAUACGCGGGCUGUCCAGGUGUUUAAAAGUCAUCUGAAGAAAGGGCCGGGCAAGACCGGUGCCAGCCGCCGCGGUAAUACCGGCGGCUCGAGUGGUGGCCACUAUUAUUGGGCUUAAAGCGUCCGUAGCUGGACUGAUAAGUCUCUUGGGAAAUCCGCCGGCUCAACCGGCGGGCGUCUAAGGGAUACUGUUGGUCUAGGGACCGGGAGAGGUGAGAGGUACUCCGGGGGUAGGAGUGAAAUCCUGUAAUCCCCGGGGGACCACCGAUGGCGAAGGCAUCUCACCAGAACGGCUCCGACAGUGAGGGACGAAAGCUGGGGGAGCAAACCGGAUUAGAUACCCGGGUAGUCCCAGCCGUAAACUAUGCGCGUUAGGUGUGCUGGUGACCACGUGUCACCGGGUGCC